GUAAGGAAUAUUGGUCAAUGGAGGCAACUCUGAACCAGCCAUGCCGCGUGCAGGAAGACUGCCCUAUGGGUUGUAAACUGCUUUUAUCCGGGAAUAAACCUCAUUACGAGUAAUGAGCUGAAUGUACCGGAAGAAUAAGGAUCGGCUAACUCCGUGCCAGCAGCCGCGGUAAUACGGAGGAUCCAAGCGUUAUCCGGAUUUAUUGGGUUUAAAGGGUGCGUAGGCGGCCUGUUAAGUCAGGGGUGAAAGACGGUAGCUCAACUAUCGCAGUGCCCUUGAUACUGAUGGGCUUGAAUGGACUAGAGGUAGGCGGAAUGAGACAAGUAGCGGUGAAAUGCAUAGAUAUGUCUCAGAACACCGAUUGCGAAGGCAGCUUACUAUGGUCUUAUUGACGCUGAGGCACGAAAGCGUGGGGAUCAAACAGGAUUAGAAACCCUGGUAGUCC
rnacentral:rRNA from 1 species